rnacentral:rRNA from 1 species
UAUCUCUGUAGAGUCUGCAUAUCAAUAAGCGGAGGAAAAGAAACUAACAAGGAUUCCCCUAGUAACGGCGAGUGAAGCGGGAAGAGCUCAAAUUUGAAAUCUUCAAGGUUUGACCUUGACGAAUUGUAGUUUAAAGAAGUGUUUUCGGUUAGAGGAGUAGUAAAAGUUCUUUGGAAUAGGACAUCAUAGAGGGUGAGAAUCCCGUAUUUGACUAUUCUUUCUAGCUUUGUGAUACACUUUCAAAGAGUCGGAUUGUUUGGGAAUGCAGUCCAAAAUGGGUGGUAAAUUUCAUCUAAAGCUAAAUAUUGGCGAGAGACCGAUAGCGAACAAGUACCGUGAGGGAAAGAUGAAAAGAACUUUGAAAAGAGAGUUAAACAGUACGUGAAAUUGUCAAAAGGGAAGCGUUUGACACCAGUGUUGUUUUUCCGAAAAUCAAUUAAAAAUUGAUUCAUGCCAGGUUGUAUUGACCUUAUCAGCUUGCAAUUUGGUUUUGGGUCUCUUUUUGAUGCACUUUUCGGUUAACAAGUCAACAUCAAUUUCCUUUGCUGUAAAAAGGUAAGAGGAAGGUGGCUUCAAUUUCGGUUGAAGUGUUUAUAGCCUUUUAUCUCUGCAGUCGGGGAGAUUGAGGUCUGCAGCGUAGAUCCUUCGGGGCUAGAUACAUUUAUGCUAAGUUAUAGCUUUUCAUAGACAACUUGUUGACUAGUGUUUAGUCAUGUCGCUUACUCGCUAAGUGCUAUUUUACCUACGCUUAGGAUGUUGAAGACUCUACAGAGAUA